rnacentral:rRNA from 1 species
UACGAAGGUCCCAAGCGUUAUCCGGAUUUAUUGGGUUUAAAGGGUGCGUAGGCGGGCUAUUAAGUCAGUGGUGAAAGCCCCAAGCUUAACUUGGGAACUGCCAUUGAUACUGGCAAUCUAGAGUCCGGAAGAGGUUAGUGGAAUUCCCAGUGUAGAGGUGAAAUUCGUAGAUAUUGGGAAGAACACCAGUGUCGAAGGCGGCUAACUGGUCCGGUACUGACGCUGAGGUGCGAAAGCGUGGGGAGCAAACAGG